AGAGAGGAGAUGUAAAUGAAUUCGCAACUCGAAGUCGGCAAACCCCCUUCGACUAUCCACACUAUAAUCACGAGGAAGACUUUGCUCCUGUUUUGAUCCAACAUUAAAAAAAAGGAGGUCCCAAACAUGGAAAGUAUGCAUCAUAUUCAUCUUUGAGCCUCUACUUAAAGCCUCUCCACUCCCCCUUCCUUCAUCCCACCUCAUUACAUCUUUGGCCACCAAACCAUCCUCUGUUACUCUCUCUCUCUCCAAGCUCCACAGGAUAGCUGCCAUGUCUAGGUCAACCACCUUCUUUGUGAUAGCUCUUCUCCUCUUCGUCUCCCUCGGCGAAGCAGCUCGGCAUGCGCCAGUAGAUCCAACAAGUACCCAAACGGAGGGUGUAGAAGAGGACAGUUUCGAGAAAAUGGAUGAGGAGUGUGGAGGGGUUGGCAAGGAGGAGUGCCUGAUGAGGAGGACGCUUGCGGCUCACACAGACUACAUCUACACCCAAGGGAAGAAGCACUGAUAAGAGCAGGAACAGCCCUGCUAUCCAUGGAUUACUUGUUAGCUCUUGCACUACCAUUGUUGCAAGGAUCUUAUGCUGAAUCCUACCUCUGUGGCCUUGUCUUGUCCUCUUGGGACUCCUUGGGUGUUUGGUUACAUGUAUAUGAGAAGGAACUGAUGAAUGUUUUGGAAUAAAAUGCGUGGAAUUUAUCCUGCA